CUCGCCGAUGCGAAAGGCACCAAUAAAGCAGACCGAGAAGGCCACGCGAAACAACUUCGAUACGUACUCCGAACCACAGACCGUCGGUAGUACUAAAAUAAUCCGCCGCAACAUUUCAGCCGAAAUUGGGCGACGACCAUCCGGGCGACGCCGCAGCCGCCAACCCUUGACCACCCUCUGAAUCCCAUAUUCCUUAGUAACAUCCUGCUAGCCCAUAAAGCGAAACAGGAACGACAGGGCAGCCAACGCCUUCUCCGCUGCAGCGCAGGACCUACCUCUCCUGACCAAGUCAUCCAGCAACACGAGAGUCCUCUCCGCACGACCCGAUUCCGUGGAUACAUCCCCGUCCCAUGCUGAUGACAGCCACUGCCUCCACACUGCCCGGUAUGCCUUCCAGGAAGACUCCGCCAAGGAAUCCGAUACCAAGCCCAUCAGACCUCGAAAUCGAGCUUCCAUAAGGAGUCUGGACACCGCAGACCGGUCCGCUGCGCCUCUGGCGCUGCCUCGCGAAACUGCUCCCACUGCAAGCGAGACAAUGCAUCAGCCACCACGUUCUGAACACCCGGGACAUGCUGCGCCCGCACCCAAACAUUAAACUUAAGACUAAGGAGCACGAGGUGACGGAGAAGAGCCAAAACUGGUGGAGACGAGGAGGACAAACGGGCAAUCACAUGAACCACACUCAUGUUGUCCGUGUGAAAGACCACCGUGUGAUUUCUCAGAUCCUCGCCCCACAGCUCCAGCGCGACCACUAUCGGAAACAGUUCCAAAAAGGUCAAAUUCCUCCUCAAUAAGGAAGACCGCCAAUCUUCCGGCCACUCCCCCGCGCACCACUGACCCCGAAAAUACGCUCCAAAACCAAC